UCAAGUGAAAUUAUUUUAAAAGAAAAGCAUAAUUCUAAAGAAGAAUUAACCUUUACUAAACGGUAUUUGUUUUUGGACUGCCUUAUCCAAACACACGGGAGAUAAGCGAGAUUUAAGUGAAGUGCUCAAAACAUGAGCCGAAGGCGAGUACUUUUGUACCGCUUUUCUUAACUCGAGCAACAUUCCCAAGAGUUUGGAAAAGCAUUUUAAUCAAUGAAAACCAUUUAGUGAAUGUUUUAUACAAUAACAACAAGAGAAGAGUGUUAACAACAUGAGAUUGUUCCUAAAAAUACAUCACUUUUUUUAAAUGUUUAUCCAUAUAAUAAAGUAAAUUUCAACCAAAUGUUUAAUUUUAAGAACUAGGAUGAAUCCACUACUCUUCAUAUUGCAGUACAGGAUCGAAAUGUCGAAGUCCUUAAAUUAUUGCUAGAACAUGAUUAUUCCAUGAUAAACUGCGAGACUAAAGAUAAACGGACAGCACUGAUGGAAGCUACCUUACAUGGCAAGAAAAACGUUUUGGAAUGUUUACAGGACAACAAGGCAGCCAUUACAAACGAUUAUGAAAUCAUUAACUGCAUGAAUUUGGCCAUUUAAAGGGGUGAUCAAGAUAGCGCUAUGAUACUAAUGUGUCAUAAUAGUAACCUUAAUUACCAUGUGUUUUCUUUAAAGCAAAAGAUAUUGCAUACCUAAGUUCACAAUGUAAGAAAAGUGUUACUUUAUCAGUAUAUUCGUUGAAUAAGAAUGGCUCUUGCUUAUAACGCAUUUCUUUUAAUAAACUUUAGAAAACGAAAAUUUAAGAACUUUGAUUUUUGUUUUCUGGUUUUGGAAAAAUCGUUUCACGAUCCUGAUUGCAAAGUUGGUUUCCGAAAACAUGUCAGAUGUGGCUUAUCAAGCUGUUUGUAACAGCAUGAUUUCCACAGGUGACCCAGAAUAUGAUAACUAUACAGUUGAAUACGACUUCAUAUGUUUACAAGGUAGUGCCAAAGGUAUGUUCACUCUGUUUUUAUUCUCUUCUUCACAUCGUUCUUUACUGUGCCAUUCAUUAAAAAGAAUAACAUCUUCAUAUAAAUAUGUUUUAUAACUUUUAUUUUACCUGCAUAGUGCAAUAUGAAGUCUACUAAACGUAAGCCUAGCACACAUGGCUGUCAAAGCGAUGGUGGAUAAUAAAAGCAACAAAUGUCUUUCUCAUCCUGUCUGCUUGAAAUAUCUUAAAGAAAAGUGAAGAAAUAACACAUGGAAAUAUUACACACUUGAAUUGUUUAUGUAUCUUGUGUUUUUACAAUUUUUUUAACUUCUAUGCAUUUAGCAUUCCCAGCUAUAAGACAACGCUUUUAAACAAAGAUGAUAGUUCAACAUAUAGCAUUCCUAACACGACACGAGGUAUUUUUAACAAAACAAAUGGCAUUCCUGUUUAUGAGAAAACAUCUCAAGACAACGAUAAUGCUUCCUUGACAAUGGCAAUGGCAGUUCGUUUGUUUUUUUCUGGCUAUGGUUGCAUUAGAGAAUUUUGUCAAGUAGUUCUUUACAAAUUGCACUUCUUUAUCUACGACAUGAACUUUUUGAAUGUGUUCUCUACAUAUACACAGUCAUUUUUCCUCGACGAUUUCUCAGUGAAAAGCCUGUUCCAUAGCAUUGUUUUCUACACGGCUUUAUCUGGUUACAAAUUUCACCCAAUUUCCAUACUUUAGUGUGCUGAUUUAUACAAUAAGAAGAAUGGAAUUCACAUUAUGCAUGGUUUACAUAUCACUUAAACAUCAAAAUAAUUUUUGGUAACACUGCGAGAAGUGUUGGAUUGAGUUGUGUAAGCUUUACAAUUAAAUGUUAUGACGAUUAAAAUUUUGUGGUCUGUAAAACCAUACUAUCUUUAUACAUGUUGAUAUAAAAAGUUUUUUGUUUCUGUUCA